UAGGGAAUCUUCCGCAAUGGACGAAAGUCUGACGGAGCAACGCCGCGUGAGUGAAGAAGGAUUUCGGUUCGUAAAACUCUGUUGUUAGGGAAGAAAAAAUGUAUAGUAACUAUAUACAAAAGAGACGGUACCUAACCAGUAAGCCACGGCUAACUACGUGCCAGCAGCCGCGGUAAUACGUAGGUGGCAAGCGUUGUCCGGAAUUAUUGGGCGUAAAGCGCGCGCAGGUGGUUUAGAAAGUCUGAUGUGAAAGCCCACGGCUCAACCGUGGAGGGUCAUUGGAAACUAAUAAACUUGAGUGCAGGAGAGAAAAGUGGAAUUCCUAGUGUAGCGGUGAAAUGCGUAGAGAUUAGGAGGAACACCGGUGGCGAAAGCGGCUUUUUGGCCUGCAACUGACACUGAGGCGCGAAAGCGUGGGGAGCAAACAGG
rnacentral:rRNA from 1 species